UCGGUCAUAGAAAAAUUUAAAAUUCCAUUACGUUUUUUAAGGCGGUUUGUCAUAAAAUUUUUAGCAUUCAAUCAGACAUUAUUGUCGGGUUUUGUAUUAGUGUUUCUAAAAAUAGGUAUACCAGCCCCCAGACACACUUUUGUUCUCUAAAUGUGGCCCCCGGGUCAAAAUAAUUACCCAGGCCUGGUACAGCCUUUGGUAUGACUCAACCGGGGUUUGAAGUCACAACCUACCGAUCUCAGGGCGGACACUCUAACCACUAAGCCCCUGAGUAGGCACUAAAAUGUGGAAAAAUUGUCAUGAAAAUACACAAGGGAGGUCAGGUCUGUCAAGUUUAGGCAUGGUGUGGUGUUUGCCAUUCCAACAUGCAGAAUACAUCCGGCAAUAACAAGAAGGCACGAUACAAAAGGGUAGUGCCACAGGAAAAGCGCACAUCAAGCUCAAGGCAAAAAAAAAAUAGAUUGUGUAAAAUAGCAUAGAAAAGCGUGAACUUAAAGCGUAGCGUGAAGCCAACCAGACAGUCAUGUGGAGCAAACAAGAAUCCCUAAGGACUGGAAGGGUGAGACGGGUUUAAGAAGGGGAGUGUUUAGCUUCAACACCAGGUGGGAAGACGAAUCAUUAAACCAGCAACAGAAGGUGAACAAAGAAGGUGAGGAGCACUCGGAACAGAAUUAAAUACUAAAUAUAGGGAAGAAGAAUAAUAAACACAACACAAGACAAGACCUGCUUUGACCCGCCACGGCAAGUUCGAUGACAAGUGAACUUUGCGAAAGCCGAGCUCAUGUUUCACGGCAGCACGACGGCCAUGCACGAGAUCCUUAAACCCUUUGGCGUCGUGUCCUCUUCCUCGCCAUCACACAGAUGUUGUGGUCCUGAUGGCUUCAUCCGGCCAGGAUCUUCAGCUCUCACUGGGUCGGUUCGCAGCCGAGUGUGAAGCGACUGGGAUGAGAAUCAGCACCUCCGAGUCCGAGUCCCUGGUUCUCGCCCGUAAAAGGAUGGAGUGCCAUCUACGGGUUGGGGAGGAGAAUCUGCCCCAAGUGGAGGAGUUCAAAUACCUCGGAGUCUUCUUCACGAGUGAGGGAAUAGUGGAUUGUAAGAUCAACAGGCGGAUCGGUGCGGUGUCUUCAGAAAUGCGGACGCUGUAUCCAUCCGUUGUGGUGAAGAAGGCAAAGCUCGCAAUUUACCGGUCGAUCUAUGUUCCCAUCCUCACCUAUGGUCAUGAGCUUUGGGUUAUGACCGAAAGGACAAGAUCACAGGUGCAAGUGGCCGAAAUGAGCUUCCUCCACCGCGUGUCGGAGCUCUCCCUUAGAGAUAGGGUGAAAAGCUCUGUCCUCCGGGAGGAGCUCAAAGUAAGGCCGCUGCUCCUCCACAUCGAGAGGAGCCAGAUGACGUUGUUCCGGCAUCUGGUCAGGAUGCCACCCAAACGCCUCCCUAGGGAGGUGUUUAGGGCACGUCCGACCGGUAGGAGGCCAGGGGGAAGACCCAGGACACGUUGGGAAGACUAUGUCUACCGGCUGGCCUGGGAACACCUCAGGAUCCCCCGGGAAGAGCUGGACAAAGUGGCUGGGGAGCGGGAAGUCUGGGCUUCCCUGCUUAGGCUGUUGCCCCGCGACCGAACUUCGGAUAAGCGGAAGAAGAUGGAUGGAUGGAUGGACUAGCAGUUCCGGUGCCACAGAUCGGAUAUCCUAUUACGUAACAAUGACCUUUUGCAGUGUCGAAUCAUGUGGAUGGAUGAAGCCUAUCCCAGCUACACUCGGGCGGAAGGCGGCGUACACCAUGGACAAGUCGCCACCUCAGACAGACACUAGCCUAUCCCCAGGUGCAUGUUUUUGGAGGAAGCAGGAGUAUCUGGAGAGAACUCAUACAUGCAAAUUCCGAACAGAAGGACCGCCAGCCCGGGACGCAAAGUGGAGUAAGAGAGAGUAUUAACAUUUGCGGAGGAGCAAAAAGUGACGUUUUAACUUAGCGUGUUUAUGGCUGACAAUGACCAAUUUAUGCAACAUACUUGUUCGUGGUUGUUGUUUUGCUGUGGUUACGGCAGGCAGAAAUCAAUCUUAUACAAUAAAGUAUGAGGGACCGUUAGGGAAAUGAUUUAGAAUUUUCUCUUACAUACACUACUGAAAUGCUCUCACAUAAACAACUGAAAUGUUUUUCUCUCUCACACACUACUGAAACACUCUUAUACACACUACUGAAACACUCUUAUACACACUACUGAAUUGCUCUCACAUAAACAACUGAAAUGUUUUUCUCUCACACACUACUGUACCACUCUUAUACACACUACUGAAACACUCUUAUACACACUACUGAAAUGCUCUCACAUACACUACUGAAAUGCUCUUACAAACACUACUGAAAUGCUCUCACAUACACUACUGAAAUGCUCUUACAUACACUACUGAAAUGCUCUUACAUACACUACUAAAAUGCGCUUACAUACACAACUGAAAUGCUCUCACAUACACAACUGAAAUGCUCUCACAUUCUCAUUCAAUGUGUUUAUUUUCAUGACUAUUUAUAUUGUAGAUUGUCAUUGAAGGCAUCAAAACUAUGAAUGAACACGUGGAGUUAUGUCCAUCCAUCCAUUUUCUACCGUGUGUCCCUUACAGGGUUGCGGGGGGUGCUGGAGCCUAUCUCAGCUGCAUACUUAACAAAAAAAAAGGUGAAAUAACUGAAAACCUGUUUUAUAUUCUAGUUUCUUCAAAAAAGCCACCUUUUGCUCUGAUUGCUGCUUUGCACACUCUUGGCAUUCUCUCGAUGAGCUUCAAGAGGUAGUCACCUGAAAUGGUUUUCACUUCACUGGUGUCAUAGUUUUAAUGCCUUCAGUGACAAUCUACAAUGUAAAUAGUCAUGAAAAUAAAAAAAACACAUUGAAAUGAGAAAGUGUGUCCAAACUUUUGGCUUGUACUGUAUAUAAAAACCUUAAUGGAGGUGUUUGGAGGGUUUAAGGGCUUUAUAGUCAGAAUAGAGUGGCUUUCAAAGGCUCCACUGGAGGCAGACUUUUCAUCAAAUGUAUAUAAUAUUCUUAAAUUGCAAUAAAACUAAAAAAUGUAUUUCAUAAUGAUUGUGAAUGAUAAGCAAAA